AGAGUUUGAUCCUGGCUCAGAUUGAACGCUGGCGGAAUGCUUUACACAUGCAAGUCGAACGGCAGCACGGGGGCAACCCUGGUGGCGAGUGGCGAACGGGUGAGUAAUACAUCGGAACGUGCCCAGUCGUGGGGGAUAACGUAGCGAAAGCUACGCUAAUACCGCAUACGAACUCUGGUUGAAAGCGGGGGAUCGCAAGACCUCGCGCGAUUGGAGCGGCCGAUGGCAGAUUAGGUAGUUGGUGGGGUAAAGGCUCACCAAGCCGACGAUCUGUAGCUGGUCUGAGAGGACGACCAGCCACACUGGGACUGAGACACGGCCCAGACUCCUACGGGAGGCAGCAGUGGGGAAUUUUGGACAAUGGACGCAAGUCUGAUCCAGCCAUUCCGCGUGCAGGAUGAAGGCCCUCGGGUUGUAAACUGCUUUUGUACGGAACGAAAAGGCUCUGGUUAAUACCUGGGGCUCAUGACGGUACCGUAAGAAUAAGCACCGGCUAACUACGUGCCAGCAGCCGCGGUAAUACGUAGGGUGCAAGCGUUAAUCGGAAUUACUGGGCGUAAAGCGUGCGCAGGCGGUUAUGUAAGACAGGUGUGAAAUCCCCGGGCUUAACCUGGGAACUGCAUUUGUGACUGCAUAGCUAGAGUACGGUAGAGGGGGAUGGAAUUCCGCGUGUAGCAGUGAAAUGCGUAGAUAUGCGGAGGAACACCGAUGGCGAAGGCAAUCCCCUGGACCUGUACUGACGCUCAUGCACGAAAGCGUGGGGAGCAAACAGGAUUAGAUACCCUGGUAGUCCACGCCCUAAACGAUGUCAACUGGUUGUUGGGUCUUCACUGACUCAGUAACGAAGCUAACGCGUGAAGUUGACCGCCUGGGGAGUACGGCCGCAAGGUUGAAACUUAAAGGAAUUGACGG
rnacentral:rRNA from 1 species